GCAGGUAUAGUUUAGUGGUAAAACAUUAGCUUCCCAAGCUAUGGAUGUCGGUUCAAUUCCGAUUACCUGCUCCA
rnacentral:tRNA from 1 species